AGAGUCGGUCCAGGCCACUGUCAGUGCACAGCUUGUCCAUCCAGACGCCUUCCUUUCCUGCGCACUCUUCUCCACUUUCCCUAACUUCCACAACAAUUUGGCGUUGUCGAGCAGGAUUUCCGCGCUCGAGAGUCGACUUCGGGGAUUCCCGGGGAGGCUUGCAGCGCUCGAGCCUUGAAGGCUGUUAAGAGGACGUGGGAGCUCACCGUGAGCCGCCUCAACACCGGAAUCAAAAGUAAUCGGACACGUGGAAGGUGAGAGGAUUUAGUUUAUUUUAUUUGUAAGGUUGUAAGGGUUUUUUUUCCCCCCAGAGAACCUUAGUUAAAUUUAUUAGUGUUGAGUAGUAAAAUUAUAUUGUUGGUUGUAAAGACAGGAUUUAGACCUGGAUCUGUCGACAGGUCAGGGACCUGGAUAGGCAUCUAGUGUAAGGCCUAGAAAUAAAAAGUAAAGCACGGCACUUAUCUGGGAUUAGGUGCUAAAGGUGUCUUGUUUGCGAGGUUUUCAGAAAACCCGCCGCUAAGAGCUGACGAGCUCGGCGUAGUCUCUCCGGAGAGCAAAGCAUGUUAGGGGAAAAGAGAAAAGGCCAAAACAAAAGAUAAAGCACACACACACAUAGCAAAGAGAACAGGCUUUCUGACAAAGAGACUGUUAACAAUAAACUAAGAUAGUCAUGGGCAAACUCAGUACAAACACAGUGUGUAUCACUGGACCUAAUGUGAAUUUUAUGAAAAAUAAUCAUGGUCCUGAUUCUGUGUCACAACUAAUGUGGUGUGUGACGGAGUGUAGCUUCCCAGACGGUGGCAGUUUUAUCCUGAAACAGUUAGACUUGCUGAGACUUAACCUGAUCCAAAUUGAAAGAGAUAAUGCCGGAAAGAAGAAGAGAAAGAGGGUAGAAGUAAAAUGGACAGCUUUUCAGAUGUGGAGAUCAGAGGCAGAGAAAAGGUUGAGAAAAUCACAAUCUGCCCCAAGCAGAUUAUCUACACAGUAUUUACACAAUACACAAAGUACAUUAAGGAGCUCACAGAGUCUCCAGUGUCUUAAGUCUUUUUCAGACUAUCCUGACCUGGAUGGACCGCCUCCUCGACCACGUCUGGCAGCGGCUGUGUCAACACAGGUGUUCACGGAUUCAGAAACACACCCCAUCCGGAGAAGUGUCCACUCCCUCCACCCUCCCCGCAGAUCGCACACGUCAGAGGGAGAAGCAGAAGGAGAAUGCUGAUCCUGGACCAGUUGAAGAAAAGUCUUCGACUUCAGAGGUCAAAGAGCAACUUCAGAGAGUGAUUACAAUUCCCAUGGUGGAAGUAACUGGACCGGAUGGAGACCCCAUGCUAGUACGUCGUCCCUGGACACUAAAGGACAUUGAACAUGCUCAUGAGCACCUCCCUGACCAGAGAGAAGUCGGGGGGAAAAAGUUCGGUGUGGAGUUGGAACGUUUUUGCAAGGAAUUUCGUCCCACCUUACUUGAACUGAUGUGCCAGCUGACAUACUGUAACGCAAAUCAAGUAUUUAUGGCCGAAUGAGAAUCUGUGCAUGAGGCAUCCAGAUCAUGCAAACUCGAGGAAUGCGACGUACUCUAAUUUCAUAAUGGAAUUACAUGAAACAUGUAGUGAUUCUUUCCCAGUGAAGAUGGAUAUGACAAAGAUUGAUUGCACUUUGCAAACAGGAGGACAGCGAAAACAUCUCCAUCGCCUCACUGACAUACACAACGCGCACAGCGGCCUCGCUCCCCUACCUGAGGGGGCAGUGACAGCAUACUGUACGAGGCGCACUUGAGAAACAGUUUCAUGAAUGGACUGAUUCCAGAAAUAUCUGACAAGGUGAAAAACCUAAUGCAUCACAUGGGACACUGGAAGACUGAGCCUCAUCGAACGACAUGCCCUGCAUGCGGAGAAAGUGCUCGCACGACACAAGCAGGAGCAGGAGAAGAAGAAAGAAGCGCAAACACACAGAGUCCAGCUGACAAUGAUGCAAGCUGUGGCGGGGUCUCGAACACAUCGAGGAAGAGGGAGAUAUCGAGGAAGAGGUAGAGGCAGAGGCCCGAAGUUAGAGAACAGGAGACAGUGGAUGUUUUAUUUGUGGAGGACAAGAUCACUGGGCAUGGGAAUGUCCUAAGAAACGCGACGAAGAAACUGCAUGACGAUCAGCGUCUCAGCUUGGAGAGUCGAGGAGGUCCUGAAGGGAUGAAAGCAGAUGGAGAACCACACAAUUGUGUUGACAUUUGCAGUCCUAGGUCUGAUUUGCAGGAGACGCCGCUUUUUGUGGAUGGAUCAGCCUUCAGAGAUCAGAAAACAGGCCGCAACUGCACGGGGUAUGCAGUAGUAACACAACACUAAACACUUAUACCCCUUUGACUAAAGUGUAGUCAAAUUUUAUUCGUCACAUACUGUACAAAGCUGUAGUAUGUUGCCCCUGGAGCAGGUGAGGUCAAGGGCCUUGCUCAAGAACACAAUGUUGAUGUCUCAGCAGCUUGUGGGCUUAAACCCCGACCUUCUGAUCAGUAACCCGAAGCCUUAACCACUGAACCAUGACGUCCUGUCGUAAUAUUCCCUCUAGAACAAGGCAUACAGCAUUACAGCCAGAUAUAACGUCCUUGAGUCAUGAUCAUAUAACUAUAUUACUUUUUGAAAAAUAGUCAAAACCUCAUUUACAUGCAAUGCAUACGGUACUCACUUAAUAGUAUAAUUAUUAUUUAUAAUUUUCAUAAUAAACCAGUUACGAAGGAUUCUUCUAAAAUCAGCCGGUGGAGAACAUGGAAAGUGUGUAGGAGAAUGAACAGGGUGGCAUUUUUAUUUAAAGUAAAAGGUGAGACUCACAUCCAUGUCCGGAGGUUUAUAAGUGAAGGCACAUUGACAUUGGUCCAAAACACAAAUCCAAAGCCAACAUCCUUAAAAAAAAAACACCUCUUAGUGAAAUCACAAAGACUGAAAGUUGAUCCAACGGCAAAGGUAUAUAAGGUGCUGGGGGCAGUGGUGGCUAAACUGGUUAAGGCUCUGGGUUGUUGAUCAGAGUCAUUGGGGUUCAAAGCCCAGCACAGCCACAGCUGCCACUGUUGGGCCCUUGAGCAAGGCCCUCAACCCUCCCUGCUCCAGGGCGCUGUAUCAUAACUGCCCCUGCACUCUGACCCCAACCUCUUCAGUUGGGGUAUGUGAAGAAAAG